GCCUCCGUAGCUCAAGUUGGUAGAGCAGCGGACUCUUAAUCCGCGGGCUGCAGGUUCGAGUCCUGCCGGAGGCA
rnacentral:tRNA from 1 species